AGCUGGAACAGAUGAAUGUAGUGGAGUAACUAAAGUAACUAGUAACUAAGCUGUAACAGAUGAAGUAGUGGGAGUACUAAAGUAACUAGUAACUAAAGCUGUAACAGAUGAAUGUAGUGGAGUAACUAAGUAACUAGUAAAAUAAAGCUGUAACAGAUGAUUGUAGCGGAGUAACUAAAGUAACUAGUAACUAAAGCUGUAACAGAUGAAUGUA